CCUACGGUCGUGCAGCAGUGAGGAAUAUUGGUCCAUGGCCGUAAGGCUGAACCAGCCAAGUCGCGUGAAGGAAGAAGGAUCUAUGGUUUGUAAACUUCUUUUAUAGGGGAAUAAAGGUAUCCACGUGUGGAUAUUUGCAUGUACCCUAUGAAUAAGAAUCGGCUAACUCCGUGCCAGCAGCCGCGGUAAUACGGAGGAUGCGAGCGUUAACCGGAUUUAUGGGGUUUAAAGGGUGCGUAGGUUGUUUUUUAAGUCAGCGGUGAAAUUUUGUGGCUCAACCAUAAAAUUGCAGUUGAAACUGGAAGACUUGAGUGUGUUUGAGGUAGGCGGAAUGCGGGGUGUAGCGGUGAAAUGCAUAGAUAUCACGCAGAACUCCGAUUGCGAAGGCAGCUUACUAAGCCAUAACUGACACUGAAGCACGAAAGCGUGGGGAUCAAACAGGAUUAGAUACCCUUGUAGUC
rnacentral:rRNA from 1 species